rnacentral:rRNA from 1 species
AUUGAACGCUGGCGGCAGGCCUAACACAUGCAAGUCGAACGAGUGGCGGACGGGAGAGUAAUGUCUGGGACUCUGCGUGAUGGAGGGGGAUAACUACUGGACACGGUCGCUAAUACCGUAUAACAUAAGAUGUGCAUAGAUGGGAAUGGCUUGUUGGUGGGGUAAGGGCUCACCAAGGCGACGCUCCCUAGCUGGUCUGAGAUGAUGAACAGCAACACUGGAACUGAUACACGGUCCAGACUCCUACGGGAGGCAGCAGUGGGGAAUAUUGCACAAUGGGCGCAAGCCUGAUGCAGCCAUGCCGCGUGUAUGAAGAAGGCCUUCGGGUUGUAAAGUACUUUCAGCGGGGAGGCGUUACCCGCAGAAGAAGCACCGGCUAACUCCGUGCCAGCAGCCGCGGUAAUUC